CCCCACAGCUCAAGUCAAGGCUUUGUCUCCCGAGUUCGCUCGGGGUUUUCUCUAUGGACAGAAUCUGUUACAGCAGUGGGAGAUCAAGUCCGUUCCCGAUUAUACUGGCUCUCGUCCGUUUUGGGUGGGAUCACCAGUCGAUUACUCCCGUUUUGGGUUGUGUCAACCAGGGGGCGGAUGUGCUCCGUAUUGAGUUGAGUUCCAAUGGCCCUUGUGGCAUUAUCGUGGUGCUCUUAGUUACGUUACACACAUUU
rnacentral:snoRNA from 1 species